UAUAUUCCUUUGAUUAUAUACCCAGUAAUGGGAUUAUGGGGUUGAAUGGUAGUUUGCUUUUACUUUCUUUGAGAAAUCACCAAACUGCUUUCCACAGUGGCUGAAAUGAUUUAAAUUCCCACCAGAAGUGUAUAAACAUUGCCUUAUCUACACAGUAUCUCCAGCAUGUUAUUUUUCGACUUUUUAAUAGUUGCCAUUCUGAUUUGUGUAAGAUAGUCUCUCACUGUGGUUUUGAUUUGCAUUUCUUCAUUAUUUAGUGAUGUUGAGCCCUUUUUCAUAUGCUUGUUUUCCAUGCGUAUAUCUUCUUUUGAUAAAUGUCUCUUCCUAUC